rnacentral:lncRNA from 1 species
CUAUGGGGCUGGGGUGUUCUAUGGGGCUCCUAUGGGGCAUCCUAUGGGGCUUUGGUGUCCUAUGGGGCUGCUAUGGGGCUGCUAUGGGGCUGGGGUGUCCUAUGGGGCUGGGAUGCCCUAUGGGAACCCUAUGGGGCUGGCGUGUGCUAUGGAGCUGGGAUGCCCUAUGGGGCUGGGGUGUUCUAUGGCGCCCCCUAUGGGGAUGGGGUGCCCUAUGGGGCUGCUAUGGGGCUGGGAUGCCCUAUGGGGCUGCUAUGGGGCUGGGCUGUCCUAUAGGAACCCUAUGGGACUGAGUUGCCCUAUGGGGUUUUGGUGCCCUAUGGGGCCUCUAUGGGGCAUCCUAUGGGGCCGCUAUGGGGCUGGCUUCCCCCACGCGCCCCACAUCUCCCCCC